CUUACCCAAUCAUGAGCGUGGCAACUGCUGUAAACCUGUGUCACAUAAAUGCAAAUUGUGUGUUUUGUAACAGGACUGUGGCUGGGCAAGGGAGAAGCUCCAUGACCUGCCUGACAUGCUUUUUGGUGCCUCCUCCUCUAGAAAGGAGGAAGUAACAGGAGUGCGUUCUCCUGAAAGCAGCUGAGAAUAUCCAAGUGCAGAGAAGCCUUGGGCAGCAGUAUAGAGCAUCCAAGGACAGAGUAGAAUGGGAGCAUGAAGCAUUGAGAUAACCAGGAGUUUUCCUCAUGAAAGGAGCAAGGGGCCCUUCUGAAGCAAGAAGUAGUUCCAAAGUCAAGACUCAGAACCAAAAGAAAGCAGGAGACCCAGAAAGAACUGUGUGCAGUUUGUGGAAACCAAGGAAGCUACAGGAACUUGCUGGAAAGAGCAGCAAGGCUGAAGAAACGGAUGUGUCCUUACAAGAGCACAACUGGCAGGGUACUGCUAAUUAGGUUGGGCAGAACCUCUCAGUGAUGCGGCCAAGUAGUUUUGAACAGGCUUCCACUGCUGUGAAACAUCUGUUUGCGCUUGACUGUGUCAGGUUGCCAGAAGUGGGACCAAGCUAACUGUGGAACCAAGAACCAGUGUCAGACGUGCUAAGGUGGUACUUGGAAUUUAUUGGAUUUACAGAAGACAAGAAUAAAGCCUGUUGCCAUCUGUGUGGAUCAAAGCAUUUCUUUGUUAGCAGGAUGUGCGCAAAAAGCAUUGCUAGUGACAAAAUUGUAUCUCCAGAGCAAGCCCUGCAAAGAUUUAAAGCUGGAGUAGUAUUCAGAGAACUCUUAGUUCCUUAAAAGGCUGUAAAUCUUAUUUCCAUACAUGAGAACCCACAUGUAUCUACAACCAUAUUCAAGAGCACAGAGUGAAAAAUGCAGCA